CUAUCCAUGAUUUGCAUGUGACGUCAAACGUUCUAGUGGACGGCUACUGGACGGCAAGAGUGCCGCAUUAAUGAAUGGAUUCCUAUGGGACUCGCAACGUUUAGUAACUCAUAACGUAACUUAUAUCGCCGAUAAACUAAACACCGUGAACACCCAUUGUGCUGUUUGUUACAAAACCAGAUAGGGUUACAAACCAGGCGUGACUUUUCACUGGAUCUCAAAAUAAAACGAGAAAGCUGAGGUGAAUCGCGGCAACCAACUGGAAAACCAUCAAACUAGCCUACUCAAGUAGCUGGAUGAGCACCACGAUGAGAAGAGCGAUGAUCUGAUGUCAUGACACAUUGGAUGUAUGGAAGAGCCAGAGGUCCAGCACACCAAGUUUAGCCGAUUUCAACCUCUUAAUCACACCAACUCAAUGUAGUAAUCAGUUCAUUCAAUGGCUCAAAUACUUUAUUUUUAGACACAAAGUACAAAUACAUUUCAAGGUUUUGUAGGUGAUGGGAGGGGAUAUCUAUUGUGGGGUGGACAUGUACAAUAGACAUGCAAGUACUUAUUUAUAUUAAUAAAUGGUUAUCUGAACUAGGCCUGUAAUAGUCAACCCAUUGAUGCUGGAUGCUGUGUACUCGUUGUAUUGACCUAGGUGCUGGAGCAACACAGCAUUUAGGCAUGACAUAUUAGAUUUUUUUAGAUUAAAAAUGUGGGCAUGUUAGAGCUGAAUUAACAUGUUCUAAUGCAAGAGGAUGGUCUUAGCUUUUAAAACUCAUAUCAUGUCUGUAUGUGCUUCAGAGACUUAUUUAGUUAUUUGGGGGUUUUUUUUAUAGCAUGAGGACACCUUUCUUAAAAAGGGCAUAGGCAAUUAGCUGGCAUUUUGGUGCCGGCUGAAAUGGGUUAAUAUUAUUUACAUACAGCACUAUCCCCAUACCAGUAUACCCAUGUCACCUGAGAUAUACAUUUAGUGGAGACAAUAUAAUUAGUUAGACUAGACUGAAGAUUGACAGGCGGUCAUGGGUAAGUGGUUAGAGUGUCAGCCUUGUAUCCCAAAGGUUGCCGGUUGGACUCCCGACCCACCAGGUUGGUGGGAGGAGUUAAGUAAUCAGUGCUCUCCCCCAUCCUCCUCCAUGACUGAGAUACCCUGAGCAUGGUACCGCCACACUGCUCCCUUGGGGCGCCAUUGGGGGCUGCCCCCUUGCACGGGUGAAGCAUAAAUGCAAUUUCGUGCAGUGAACACUUGUGUGCUGUGUCACAAUGUCAAUGGGAGUUGGAGUUUCCCAGUUGGGCUUUCACAGAAAAUGUUCUACGUUGUUGUAUUAGUACAAUAAAAUAAGCAAGACA